GCUCAGUAACACGUGGAUAAUCUGCCCUAUGGUGGAGGAUAACCCCGGGAAACUGGGGAUAAUACUCCAUAAGUCAGGAGUACUGGAAUGUCUCCUAACUGAAAGUUUCGGCGCCAUAGGAUGAAUCUGCGGCCGAUUAGGUAGUUGUUGGGGUAACGGCCCGACAAGCCCGUAAUCGGUACGGGUUGUGGGAGCAAGAGCCCGGAGAUGGAAUCUGAGACACGAUUCCAGGCCCUACGGGGCGCAGCAGGCGCGAAAACUUUACAAUGCAGGAAACUGUGAUAAGGGAACCCCGAGUGCCCGUACACGCGGGCUGUCCCGGUGUUUAAAACACAUCGGAAGAAAGGGCCGGGCAAGACCGGUGCCAGCCGCCGCGGUAAUACCGGCGGCUCGAGUGGUGACCACUUUUAUUGGGCUUAAAGCGUUCGUAGCUUGAUUUUUAAGUCUCUUGGGAAAUCUCACGGCUUAACUGUGAGGCGUCUAAGAGAUACUGGGAAUCUAGGGACCGGGAGAGGUAAGAGGUACUUCAGGGGUAGAAGUGAAAUUCUGUAAUCCUUGAGGGACCACCGAUGGCGAAGGCAUCUUACCAGAACGGCUUCGACAGUGAGGAACGAAAGCUGGGGGAGCGAACGGGAUUAGAUACCCCGGUAGUCCCAGCCGUAAACUAUGCGCGUUAGGUGUGCCUGUAACUACGAGUUACCGGGGUGCCGAAGUGAAAACGUGAAACGUGCCGCCUGGGAAGUACGGUCGCAAGGCUGAAACUUAAAGGAAUUGGCGGGGGAGCAC
rnacentral:rRNA from 1 species